AAGCUCGUAGUUGAAUUUCGGGGUUAGUAGGUUGGUCAUGCCUCUGGUAUGUACUGGUCUCACUGAUUCCUCCUUCCUUAUGAACCGUAAUGCCAUUAAUUUGGUGUUGCGAGGAAUUUGGACUGUUACUUUGAAGAAAUUAGAGUGUUUAAAGCAAGCUAACGCUUGAAUACAUUAGCAUGGAAUAAUGAAAUAGGACGUUCGAUCUUAUUUUGUUUGGUUUCGUAGGAUUGACGUAAUGAUUAAUAGGAGUAGUUGGG
rnacentral:rRNA from 1 species